rnacentral:rRNA from 1 species
ACGAACGCUGGCGGCGUGCUUAACCCCUGCAAGUCGAACGGAAAGGCCUUUUCGGAGGUACUCGAGUUGCGAACGGGUGAGUAACACGUGGGUGAUCUGCCCUGCACUCUGGGAUAAGCCUGGGAAACUGGGUCUAAUACCGGAUAGGACCGCACUUUAGUGUGUGUGGUGGAAAGUUUUUUCGGUGUAGGAUGAGCCCGCGGCCUAUCAGCUUGUUGGUGGGGUAAUGGCCUACCAAGGCGGCGACGGGUAGCCGGACUGAGAGGUUGGUCGGCCACAUUGGGACUGAGAUACGGCCCAGACUCCUACGGGAGGCAGCAGUGGGGAAUAUUGCACAAUGGGCGCAAGCCUGAUGCAGCGACGCCGCGUGGGGGAUGACGGCCUUCGGGUUGUAAACUCCUUUCGCCAGGGACGAAGCGUUUUGUGACGGUACCUGGAGAAGAAGCACCGGCUAACUACGUG